GAUGAACGCUGGCGGCGUGCCUAAUACAUGCAAGUCGAGCGAACAGACGAGGAGCUUGCUCCUCUGACGUUAGCGGCGGACGGGUGAGUAACACGUGGAUAACCUACCUAUAAGACUGGGAUAACUUCGGGAAACCGGAGCUAAUACCGGAUAAUAUUUUGAACCGCAUGGUUCAAAAGUGAAAGACGGUCUUGCUGUCACUUAUAGAUGGAUCCGCGCUGCAUUAGCUAGUUGGUAAGGUAACGGCUUACCAAGGCAACGAUGCAUAGCCGACCUGAGAGGGUGAUCGGCCACACUGGAACUGAGACACGGUCCAGACUCCUACGGGAGGCAGCAGUAGGGAAUCUUCCGCAAUGGGCGAAAGCCUGACGGAGCAACGCCGCGUGAGUGAUGAAGGUCUUCGGAUCGUAAAACUCUGUUAUUAGGGAAGAACAUAUGUGUAAGUAACUGUGCACAUCUUGACGGUACCUAAUCAGAAAGCCACGGCUAACUACGU
rnacentral:rRNA from 1 species